UUAAAUGGCCGCGGUAUCCUAACCGUGCGAAGGUAGCAUAAUCACUUGUCUACUAAAUAUAGACCUGUAUGAAUGGCAUCACGAGGGCUAUACUGUCUCCCCCAUUUAAUCAGUAAAACUGAUCUUCCCGUGAAGAAGCGGGAAUUUAACUAUAAGACGAGAAGACCCCAUGGAGCUUCAAACUAAGAGACAACUGCCAAAUUCAAUACCAUUAAAUACUGCACCCAUGACUCAAAGUUUUCGGUUGGGGCGACCGCGGAGCACAACAAAACCUCCUCGAUGAAAGAACAUGAAAUUCUCACCCUAGAGCCACACCACAAAGAACCACCAAUGUGACAUCCAUUGACCCAAAUAUUUGAUCAACGAACCUAGUUACCCUGGGGAUAACAGCGCAAUCCAUUUCUAGAGCCCAUAUCGACAAAUGGGUUUACGACCUCGA
rnacentral:rRNA from 1 species